CGCGUAGACGGCAAGGCAAGUCUGAUGUGAAAACCCAGGGCUUAACCCUGGGACUGCAUUGGAUACUGUCGGGCUUGAGUGCAGGAGAGGUAAGUGGAAUUCCCGGUGUAGCGGUGAAAUGCGUAGAGAUCGGGAGGAACACCAGUGGCGAAGGCGACUUACUGGACUGUAACUGACGCUGAGGCGCGAAAGUGUGGGGAGCAAACA
rnacentral:rRNA from 1 species